ACACUUACCUGGCAGGGGAACACCAUGAUCAGAAUGUGUUCACCCAGGGCGAGGCUUGGCCAUUGCACUCGCCCGCCAUCUGACCCCUGCAAUUCCCCCCAAAUGUGGGAAUCUCGACUGCAUAAUUGUUGGUAGUGGGGGAAUGCGUUCGCGCUCUCCCCUG